rnacentral:piRNA from 1 species
ACCUUUGAGAGCAAUGUGAACGGCACGU